AGUGUAAAUUCGAUAAGAUUUGUAUCCAUCCCUAGGGUUUCUGAACGAGGUAUAUAUAUACCAAUAUAACUAUCGUCGUCUCCCUUGACGCUCCAAAUCUCCCACUCGAAGCCGUCGAUCUCAGAACCUCCGGAGCUUUUACUCUCUAGAAAUGGCUACGGUUCCAGGGCCUUUGAUAUGGGAGAUCGUAAAGAAGAACAACUCGUUCCUGGUGAAGGAGUUCGGCAAUGGAUCCGCGAGCGUGGUGUUCAGCAAAGAGAGCAACAAUCUCUACAACCUCAACUCCUACAAGCACUCUGGAUUGGCAAACAAAAAAACUGUAACCAUUCAACCUGGGGGCAAAGAUCAAUCUGUGUUGUUUGCAACAACAAAGACCAAGAAUCAGGGAAAACCAGCAAGUCUGCUUCACAAGUCUCUCAUGAAGAAAGAGUUCCGCCGGAUGGCUAAGGCUGUUAAAAACCAGGUAGAACUUCUUAACAUGGCAUGUUCUUUGUAUAAGUUUGUAAUACCUGUUUAUUGCUUCUUGAAUGGGUUGCGGCGGGCAUUGUUGCAAUUGGUCAAUUUGUCAACUCCGUCUGGGCAAUUGUCACUGAAAUACUCAAAAAUAAAGGGCUUAUAAGGAUUUAGUGGGUAGUGGCUUCACUGGCUUACAAUCCAAAGGUUAAUUUGGAUACCAUACUUUUGAUUUUAUUAAACUAGAAGUUGUGAAUAGUAUGCUAGUAGAUAGAUAGGUCAUGUUGAAUGUACUUUCCUGAGGCUUUAAAAUAUAGGCUUGUAGCUUGCUGGACUUGAAUUUUUGAAGUAAUCUUGUUGAUGAUGAACUGCGGUGCUACUCCUUGGGGGCAAAUGAUGUUAUAUGAAUUGAGGUCCAUGGGAACAAAUUAAUAAUACCACUGAUGGACUCUCUUUGAGGAAGUGUUUCUGACAAUAUGUACCUGUCGAAUUGUUGCUGGAUGUGUUAUAUUUGAUGUCAACGCUGAUGGUAUUUGAUGGAAAAUUUAUCUCGGAAGAAUAUUGGGUUUCUGGAGAAAAGCAUCAGCAAUGUCAAUUCAAAUAUGUUAUAAACAUCUCGUGGCACAAAUUUAGAUUAUGAUCUUUUAUUGCAGGUGGCCGAUAACUAUUACAGGCCAGAUUUGAAGAACGCAGCUCUUGCCAGGCUGAGUGCUGUGCAGAGGAGCCUUAAGGUUUCCAAAUCUGGUGUCAAGAAGAGGAACAGGCAGGCUGUUAAGACCAUUGGUAGGAAAUGAAUUUAGGGGGGCUGGCGUUUCUUCUUGCCACCAUUUCUAGACUCUGGGAGAUUGUGUUUCUGCUUUUUUGCCUUGUUGAAGCUUUUAUCUUUUGGGAUGCUAUAAUCUUGUUUUGAACGCAAAAGAGACAAAACAUAGUCUGGCUUUUACCUCUUUUAUCUGUUUAGCGUUAUGAUAUGUCGUAGUUCAAUCGGGUACUUGAAUUUUAAUGUUUAGAGUUAUGAGCAAUUUUCCUUGAAUUUCAA